UACGAAGGGGGCUAGCGUUGCUCGGAAUCACUGGGCGUAAAGGGUGCGUAGGCGGGUCUUUUAAGUCAGGGGUGAAAUCCUGGAGCUCAACUCCAGAACUGCCUUUGAUACUGAAGAUCUUGAGUUCGGGAGAGGUGAGUGGAACUGCGAGUGUAGAGGUGAAAUUCGUAGAUAUUCGCAAGAACACCAGUGGCGAAGGCGGCUCACUGGCCCGAUACUGACGCUGAGAAGCGAAAGCAUGGGGAGCGAACAGGA
rnacentral:rRNA from 1 species